GACGAACCGUGCGAACGUUGUUCGGAAUAACUGGGCUUAAAGGGAGCGUAGGCGGGCUAUCAAGUCUGGGGUGAAAUGCCGCGGCUCAACCGUGGAACUGCCUCAGAUACUGACGGCCUCGAGGGAGAUAGGGGCAUGCGGAACUGUAGGUGGAGCGGUGAAAUGCGUUGAUAUCUACAGGAACUCCGGUGGCGAAAGCGGCGUGCUGGAUCUCUUCUGACGCUGAGGCUCGAAAGCCAGGGGAGCAAACGGG
rnacentral:rRNA from 1 species